CUGACAUCACAUCAGUUCAUGCGCAUGUGGCAAGCAUUUCUCUCGGUGUCUAAACCUAACGGAGCUUCGCGAUAACGCAGAAGAAGGUUGAUAACGGAAACACUUCACUGUCAGAUCGUCAGGAUGAGCCUUUCAUCAGUGUUUGUGUUCUUUCUUCCUUUUAUCUGUGAGGGGUUGGGAGCGCUGAUCCAAACCACUGUGGGGGCAGAUGUCGAGUUUCCGCUCUCAGAGGAGUGCAGGAAGGGAGAAGGCACACUGUAUCAGCGGCUGGAUGAUGCCAGCACUCAGCUCAUCGCAUCUCUAAGUGGUUACUGGAAGCCAGGGCGAGAUUACACUGACCGUGUGGUCGUAGGACGCGAUUGUUUAAUCUUAACAAAUGCUAACUUCAAUGACAACGGGCAUUAUGAGUUUACCUGCAACAGGAAACACUUGGAAGCUUACAAGCUGGAGGUAUUUGUGCCCUCUGAAGUUGCUGUAUCCGAGGGUGGGGAUGCCAUCCUCCCGUGUCGCUCCGUCACAGCGGGCCAGUCGGUGAAGUCUGCGCGCUGGAGGAGAAACGGGGAAGUACUGCUGGAGCUGAAUGGUCGGACGGGGGAAAUCACAUACGGAAAUCACUUUAACAGAAGCCGGGUAUCGAUACCAUCUGACUGGGACCAACGGGCAGACCUGUCCCUCAUCAUAAAGGGAGCUCAGCAACAAGACGGAGGAGUUUAUUACUGUGAUGUAGAGAAGGCCGAGAAACACCGCUCUGCUGUGCGCCUGCGAGUGCGCAAACCACCGGUUCUUUUGGGGCUGGAGAGAGAAGACCAAGGGUGUACAUGCAUGAAGAGAGCAGAGGAGACAGUGCCCGAAACAGUCCACUAAAUGACCAAUCAUUUAUAAUCAGGAGGAAAGCACAUCUCUAAAAAUUGCCCUGCCAAGUCUUCUGAUGUUAUACUGCCUGUAAAAAUAAAUAGAAAUAGCUUUUGUAGUGCAUUACUUUUAGUUCCAAAGUCCAAACCCAAACCUUUAUUUCACUGUGUAAUGAAAGUCUUCAUGGCAAAAUAAACAGCAGAUAUCUGCACACUGCUAACUUACAGUAUAAAGAUAAAAGAAUACACACAUACAGAGAUUUCUUUCUGACUUUUGACUUAUUGAUUUAUUUGUGUCUUCUUCUUGGCAGCUCUUCACUUGGUACAGUUGAAGGUCUGUCCUGAGAAAAAGGUAUAGCUUGGUUAUAACAACAGCUAAUAAUCAAUUUUUAUGAUUUCUUCAUUGAUCUGUAAGAGGCUGGAGCUUAUGGUUAAUGAAUGCAACAGUCUGGGUCGAGUAGUUGAAUUUAUUAUCUUUGUGUUGAGGACAAAAGAGUCUUCAGGCCUCCAAAAGACCUUUUAAAGGUUCCAGGUGCCACCAAGUGUGACUGAGCAGGAGACUGAAAGUAGAUAUAAAUUUUCAUUUUAGAUUAUUGGCUGUAGGGUAAGGUUUCUAUUAUGAUUUAAUGACAACAAGUUUAGUUUAGUUCACUAGUUUAUUUGAUGAGGACACCCUGUGCACUGCUGUGGUUUGUGGGUCAGUCGGUUGCAGUCAAUGAAGGGCUGCUAGUAAAUACGAGAGGCUGUUGCUGAAACCAUAAACCACCAGCCAGUAAAGAUUUACAGUUUUAUGUUCCUUUAUUUGUUUGCUUUAUGGUUGUUUACAGGCCACAGUGAUAAAAUGUGAUGAAUUUGCUUGCACGAUGAACCCACUACAGUUCAACUUCAAACACCCUCAGAGGUUCAAGCUGGACUUCUUUCUAUGUCUAGAACUUUAAUGGAUUCUGUUUUUUGUUUAAUAACUGUGACUUAUACUUUUUCCAUAUAAUGAAGUUACACAUACAUUCUGUCUUUUGCAUCAAGUUCACUUUUAAUAAUUCCACCACGCAGUAAAUCUGUGUGAUUUUGAUGUGUGGCUAACUCAGCUUCUUUUAGAAAUAGUGACUCAGUGGAGUCUGACACUCAGACAAUCAGCCAAUAGAGUUUCUGGUGAAGCUGGAGCCAAAUAACUGCUUUGAAACUGAUUCUUAGAGUCCAGAGUGAACCGUCAGUGUCCUUAAACAAUUUGUUUAUUGCCCACAUGAUAUUUCCUGCAUGUUUGUAGAGUUUGAACAAUAAAUAUAUUCAUUUACAGUGA